rnacentral:sRNA from 1 species
CCUUUGGAGUGUCAGAGAAACACAAGUAGGUUUAUCUGAAAGUGGACACGAUGAACAAGGAA